GCAGUAGCCGCGGGAACACGAAGGGUGCAAGCGUUACUCGGAAUUACUGGGCGUAAAGCGUGCGUAGGUGGUGGUUUAAGUCCGUUGUGAAAGCCCUGGGCUCAACCUGGGAAUUGCAGUGGAUACUUGGUCACUAGAGUGUGGUAGAGGAUAGUGGAAUUUCCGGUGUAGCAGUGAAAUGCGUAGAGAUCGGAAGGAACAUCUGUGGCGAAGGCGACUAUCUGGGCCAACACUGACACUGAGGCACGAAAGCGUGGGGAGCAAACAGGAUUAGAUACCCCUGUAGUCCCUGUCUCUUAUAA
rnacentral:rRNA from 1 species